ensembl:lncRNA
CGUAAGAGAAAGGAAUGAAUGAUAAGCGGAUGCUGAUCGACGGAUACAUGCGCUAUAAAUACGCCACCAGUGCAACGUUACAUAAUUUUGGGAAGAGAACGCACGCACGCGCGCACGCACGAAACGCACAAACACGCACAUACGCAGGCACAAACACACGCACACACAACCGGAGAUAGAUAGGAGCCGAGAAGACCUCUCGAUGCAUUGUCAUUGCGUCACGCGGAGCGCCAUCCUAUAGGCUGUAGCAGCGGUGGUCCCCGUGCCUCCUCUCCUCCGUCAGAGGAUUCGCGAGUCGUUGCUCCGACCUAUUGCGAUGAACCACUUCCAACGUCAUGUUCAGAGCGAUGACACACAAAGUGUAGUGGGCUACGGUACUGUGUAUUGCGCUCUACGGCAACGCCGCGCCGAGGCUCGGAUCAGGAAGUGAAUUUCAAGAAAACAGAAAAUCAGGAGGUAGAAUGACAUAGGGGAGAGGUGGAAUAGAUCAAGCUAGAAGGCACAAACCAACAGACGGAGGGAUCGACCCAAUCCUGGAUCCUCUUUUCGGUUAUUCGGGGACGUAUUGGACGGCAACAUGCUUAUAAAGGAAUUCCGAGUAAUCCUGCCUAUCUCUGUCGAGGAGGUAAGUCACUUCAUGUGCGUCUUUAUGCGUUGCAUGUUGCAUGCACAUGUGAGUUUCUGUUUAUGGUUGUGUGGUUGAGUGGUGUGUGUGUGUGUGUGUGUGUGUUUGUGUAGCUUGUACUGGAAGGUCACCUCCAUUCUCAAGAAAUGUCGGUUGAACAUCUCUGCAUUUCAAAUCUUAUACAUCGAAAAUCGAACAAGCUCCCUUUAAUCCACGACAUGUAGACUUGUAGAAUACUUUUAAAGACAGUGUCUUUUACACAUCAUACCCCUUUAUAUUUUGUCAAAGGGAAAACAUAAAAGGUUCAGAAUGUAAUGACAAACGACAAGAAAGACAUUGUGCAUUAAAGCCUCUCUGGAAUUAAAAGGUUCUGACACGAAGCACCUCAAGGCUGGUUUAGAGCUAGUCACUCCUGCUCCGCGUAACCCUAAGUCCUCACAUCAAUGAAAGCCUUGUUGUGUUGGUAUGCCUCUGUUGCAAUGAUUUGCUUUUGAGCAGGAAAAGCCAUGGGAACAAGAGGUCAACCCACAACCUACUUCCACCCCCAUCUUUUCUCUGGAUUUAACACAAUAAGUGUGUG